UACGUAGGGUGCAAGCGUUAAUCGGAAUUACUGGGCGUAAAGCGUGCGCAGGCGGUGAUGUAAGACAGGUGUGAAAUCCCCGGGCUUAACCUGGGAACUGCAUUUGUGACUGCAUUGCUGGAGUGCGGCAGAGGGGGAUGGAAUUCCGCGUGUAGCAGUGAAAUGCGUAGAUAUGCGGAGGAACACCGAUGGCGAAGGCGGCCUUCUGGACCAAUACUGACGCUCAUGCACGAAAGCGUGGGGAGCAAACAGG
rnacentral:rRNA from 1 species